GUAAGUUGGAAAUUCAUUUGUUAUGCCUACCAAACAUAGCUAUGGUAUAUAGUGCUGCUAAGCUAUGUUUGGUAGGCAUAACAAAUGAAUUUUCAACUUACAAAAUUUU
rnacentral:miRNA from 1 species